GUCUAUGGCCAUUCCACCCUGAACAAGCCUGAUCCCGUCUGAUCUCAGAAGCUAAGCAGGGUUGGGCCUGGUUAGUACUUGGAUGGGAGACCACCUAGGAAGACCAGGUGCUGUAGGCA
rnacentral:rRNA from 1 species